rnacentral:snoRNA from 1 species
CCCCUCUACUUCUCUUUCCCACUGGUCUGGGUGGUCAAGAGGAAGUAACAUUAAAUCUGAUCUCAAUGCUUUUCUGGCACAUGGGCUAGUAUCAAACAAAU